rnacentral:rRNA from 1 species
CACAAAUAAUUAGUAAUAAACUCCCAAUUAAAGAUAAAAUCAAUUCUAUAUAAAACAAGUACUAUUUGUAAUUAAAAUUACAUAAAUAAAUUCUAAAUUUAUUGCACUAAUCUGCCAAAAUAGUUUAUAUUUAAUAACAUUCUAUAUUAAAAUAUAAUUAUUUCAAUAUUUGGUCCUUUCGUACUAAAAUAUUGUAAAUUUUUAAAGAUAGAAACCAACCUGGCUUACACCGGUUUGAACUCAGAUCAUGUAAGAAUUUAAAAGUCGAACAGACUUAAAAUUUAAGCGGCUACACCUAAAAUUAUAUCUUAAUCCAACAUCGAGGUCGCAAUCUUUUUUAUCGAUAUGAACUCUCCAAAAAAAUUACGCUGUUAUCCCUAAAGUAACUUAAAUUUUUAAUCAUUACUAAUGGAUCAAUUAUUCAUAAAUUAAUGAUUUUAAAAAUUAAAAGUUUUUUAAAUUUUAAUAUCACCCCAAUAAAAUAUUUUAUAAUAUUAUAAUAAAAUUAAUCUUUACAAUUAAAAUAAAUAAAAUAUAAAGAUUUAUAGGGUCUUCUCGUCUUUUAAAUAAAUUUUAGCUUUUUGACUAAAAAAUAAAAUUCUAUAAUAAUUUUAAAUGAAACAGUUAAUAUUUCGUCCAACCAUUCAUUCCAGCCUUCAAUUAAAAGACUAAUGAUUAUGCUACCUUUGCACAG